GGGUGUCUUUUCAAGGCCUUCCCAUCUCUACUCCCAAUAUAAAUCCCUUGAAAGAUAUUUUGCUCAGGGUUAGGUUGCACCGGGAUCAGCUCAUCCAGAUCCCGUGUGAGAGUGUUCUUUAGGGAUUUGCACAUGGUCACCUUCCAAAAUAUUUGGACACAUUGAGGAUUUCCACACUUUCAGGGAUGGGACGGGGUGGGGUGGGGGAGACAGAUCUAGCAAAGGGCAGAGGGUUGCUAGCUUUUUAUGCCUCGUAUAGACAAUGGGUCUGGGGCUUCCCUUCCACUACUUGGACUACAAUGACAACUUGUUUUCUGGGAUGGUGACCCUCAGAUGUUUAGAGGGAAAUUAUAUCUCCUUCCUUCGCAAUGGAACAGUUCAUCGAAACACAAGCGGCCCCGCUCAACACGCACUUGGUUUUCAUCUAACGCUGUAGAAGCCCACGUCUCUUCCCCCACUUCACCAGACAUUUCUAGAAUGAAUCGUUAUUUAGGAACUAUUGCACGGAGCAUGCUCAGAUCACCCCAAAUCCCCAUCCAGGCCAGCAGUGCUGUAUGUUAGCCGAAGGUGGUAGUUGACCGUGAACGGGAAACUGCAUCAUGACCUUGUGUGGCAAAAUGAAAGAAGGGGUCAGGCGUUGUGGAGUCUAAAGCUGGACCUGGGGAAGCCUCCGUAUAACCAAUCAGUUCGUAUCACGACUGUAGAAUAGAGUGGUCUGAAGGCUUCCAUGGAGGUCUCGUUGACUUUGGGUGUCAACAUCUAAAUCCCAAGUGGUUAAACCCCUUCAGGCAACCCGGUUCAAUGUGGAUUACACAGGGAGGCGGCUGCAAUUGCCCCUCUGAUGUUUUCAAAUGGCGAAUGUGCCAGAUCCACGCCCCUUCGUUGUCUUGACUUGCAGGAGUAUUCAAAGGCCACGCUGGAGAGUCUGUUGCAGCUUCUUCUAGCCCUCAAGUACUCUCAGUGACAUUCAGAGAGUAAGCCCUGCCAUCCGUUCACACACGUCCUCCAAUAGCGUCUACACCAGAAGUGGGCAAUUUAUGGCCCUCCAGAUGUUUUGGCCUAAAACUUCCAUCAGCCAUAGCCAGUGGUGAGUCGUGACGGGAGUUGUAGACCAAAACAUCUGAAGGACCACGCUUUGUCCACCCCUGGUCUAUAAGGUAAAUCCCAGAGUGCUGCCAACGAGGGCACGGUUGCAACCCAUUUCUCCUGUUCAUGCGUAAUUUUUGGCGCGCACCUCGGGAGCCAUUUGUGUAUGCCAGUGUUUGAGUUUAAUGGGAAUGGAUGUGGCCAGCGUGAGGAAUGCAGGCUGAGCUCUUGUAAGUCUUGGCUGGUGUCAUUCAGAAUACGUCUCUGCAUGUAUCUUUAGGCCCCAAAGUGCUCCCCUGUCUGUAAAAUAGGUGCACACCAGUCAUCUUGAACACGUCCUUGGCUUGAACUUCUCUAUUUGGAUUUUGUUUGUAUUAGAGUCAAUCCUAUAUGAAUGAUUUACAUGCUACCAGAGUCCCAUGGGGUCUUUUCAUGCGGCUGGAUCCUUGGGUGGAGGAACCAUGCCAUCCCCUCAGAACCAUACGGUUCCUCCUAACAGACCUUAGUGGGAAUACCAUGGGAUCCAGACGCAUUGGAGUAUCUGCCAUGUAACUCCAGUACUAUCGGAAUCAGCGCUUUGCCUGCUGCACAACCGGCAGCCUUCCUUAACCAGGUAUGCUCCAGAGGUGUUGGACUGCAACUCCCACCAUUCCCAGCUAGUACAGCUGUGGCUGAUGGGAGUUAUAGUCCAAAUACAUCUGGUGGUCACCUGGUGAAGGAAGGCUGAAUGGAGAUCUCUUCCAACAGUUGGCCAUCCAAUAUGGACAGGAGAAAGUAGCACUAAGAAUCUUGUUCUUUUGACCACUUGAAAAAUAACCCUUGUCUUGAUUCUGUUCUGCGCCCUCACUGUUGCAUCAUUGCUGUUUCCCCCUCAAAAUUAAAAGGUGUAUUGAAACUGUUCUAAGCAAUAAAUUGUCCCGGCACGUCCAGCCGAACCUUCACAGUCGGGCUUUCUGUGAUGGCCCAAUUUAGCCCUUUGAGACCAGCUAAGUUCCUCCGUUGAGACCCUGCAUUAUAAAGCUUUAUCCAGAUUACCUUUCCUUUAGAAAAGAACGAAUGUACCGAGAGUAGAAUUCAUUUGGGUUGGUGUUUUCUAUUUUUAGCACUAAUAAAAGGAACAAUGAAGGGAUUUUAAUUUCCCCGGCCUAUAUUUUUAUGUAGCUUCUUUCGUCUAUUUAAGUAUCACAUUUACCAUAGGCUUAGUAAAGAUCUUGGGAUUAAGUUUUUAAUGCUAGAAGCUUUGAGCCGCAUACUGUGGUGGUCAAGACGGCCUACGCUGGGCAGAGGGUCUUCCUCUAACCUCUCUACAGAGAAGCCAACACACAAAAAACCACCCCUCAUCGGUUACCUCAGUGGAGCCAACAGGGCUCUAUGGGUGAUGGACGCACUAUCGCUGUGCCUCUCUUGAUCAGUGUUAACUAUCUCGUUUUCCUGUCUUUGUGAAUACAAUUUCCUGGUUUUGUUCAAAGUUGAGUUUCUGUUUUGUGUGUUGUUUGGUUUUCUUUCUUUUUUUUCCCUUUUGGCUUCUGUGUUUAGCCAAAUAAAUGUCAUUUUACCCAAAA